rnacentral:tRNA from 1 species
GUCUGAGUGGCUCAGUCGGUUGAGCAUCUGACUUCGGCUCAGGUAGUGAUCUCACAGUUCAUGGGUUUGAGCCCCACAUUGGGCU